GGCUAUCCAGUAGUUAAAGGACCUAUUUUUUAGAGAAGGCGUGUCGAUCGUCCGGUUGAUUCUUUCCAGAUGCUACUAAGUCUCUGGAGAGUCUCUUCAACGACGUCAGAUCUCAGUUGUCUCAGUCCAUUGGGAAGCAGUACGAUGAGAAACUUCUCAAGAUUUUCACCAUUGAAAGAGAACAUUUUCCUCUUCUAACGGAAUUUCUCUACGGUCCUAUGGAACAAAUCAGAAACCCGCUCGCAAGAAUCACGGAACCUCUUUAACAAAGUGAUGAGAUUUGUCCACAUCAAGAAGCUGAAUCUUCUGUUAGCUGCCGAACCAGUCUCUGACAUCACCAUUGUUAAGUACAACGAGCCAGAGCAAGUGCAGUAUGCAUAUUUAACAAUAGCCGAGGGUGGAGAUAUGCUUAUGGUGGGAGAUCGAUGGGUAGCAGUCCCUGGACCUCUGAAAAACCAAUUGAAGCUUUACCCUUUUCUACUACCUGACCAGUACGUGUACCCGGACAUAACUGAGGAAGAGGAGGAAGAGAAGAUAAGAAACAAGCCUAGAUAAAUCGCUUGGAGGGUGAUUUGGCAGCCAAACAAAACAUCUUACGAAUUGUGUAAUCUGUAGAAGUGAAGCCAUCGUUAAGGAUCAUAAACUCUUUUAAUUAUUAGUGUGUUUUGGUGAUUGUUCAUUGAUUUAACAAAGAGAAUUGUAUGUCUGGAUUUGAGUAUUGUUUGCUAGAUUUGUAAAACCUUGUUCUGAGUAGUUAACUAUCUUGUAUUCUCAAGUAAGAACAGAGAAGCUAUAACUUCCUCAACUUUUAUUUAUCUGGUGUUACAUCUA